GACGAACGCUGGCGGCGUGCUUAACACAUGCAAGUCGAACGGAAAGGCCCUGCUUUUGUUGGGUGCUCGAGUGGCGAACGGGUGUGUAACACGUGAGUAACCUGCCCUUGUCUUUGGGAUAACUUCAGGAAACUGGGGCUAAUACCGGAUAGGAGCUCCUGCUGCAUGGUGGGGGUUGGAAAGUUUCGGCGGUUGGGGAUGGACUCGCGGCUUAUCAGCUUGUUGGUGGGGUAGUGGCUUACCAAGGCUUUGACGGGUAGCCGGCCUGAGAGGGUGACCGGCCACAUUGGGACUGAGAUACGGCCCAGACUCCUACGGGACGCAGCAGUGGGGAAUAUUGCACAAUGGGCGGAAGCCUGAUACAGCAACGCCGCGUGCGGGAUGACGGCUUUCGGGUUGUAAACCGCUUUCGCCUGUGACGAAGCGUGAGUGACGGUAAUGGGUAAAGAAGCAACGGCUAACUACGUG
rnacentral:rRNA from 1 species